rnacentral:rRNA from 1 species
CCUACGGGAGGCUGCAGUCGAGAAUCUUCCGCAAUGCGCGCAAGCGUGACGGAGCGACGCCGCGUGGGCGAUGAAGGCCUUCGGGUUGUAAAGCCCUGUUAGCUACUAUGAACCGCGGGUGGUGAAUAGCCAUCCCGUCUGACGUAAGUAGCAAAGAAAGCACCGGCUAACUACGUGCCAGCAGCCGCGGUAAUACGUAGGGUGCUAACGUUGUUCGGAAUCACUGGGCAUAAAGAGCGCGUAGGCAGUCUGAUAAGUCAGGUGUGAAAUCCCCCGGCUCAACCGGGGAACCGCACCUGAUACUGUCGGGCUUGAGUGCAGGAGGGGAGAGCGGAAUUCCUGGUGGAGCGGUGAAAUGCGUAGAUAUCAGGAGGAACGCCGGCGGCGAAAGCGGCUCUCUGGCCUGUUACUGACGCUGAGGCGCGAAAGCUAGGGGAGCA